CGUAAAAGUACAUUGACAUUGUCAUUAAAGUACCAUAAUUGUCAUAAAAUUGUCCUUAAAUUUCAUGACAAUUUCAGGACACUUUUAUGACCAUUUUAGGAUACUUUUAUGACAAAUUAAGAACAGUUUUAUCAAUUUUAAGAUACUUUUAUGAAAAUUUUAGGAUACUUUUAAGACAGUUUUAGGAUACGUUUAUGACAAUUUUAUGACAAUUAUGACAACUUUAGGAUACUUUUAUGCCAAUUUUAGGACACUUUUAUGACAAUUUUAGGACACUUU